UACGGGAGGCAGCAGUGGGGAAUAUUGCACAAUGGGCGAAAGCCUGAUGCAGCUAUGCCGCGUGUAUGAAGAAGGCCUUAGGGUUGUAAAGUACUUUCAUCGGGGAGGAAAAAACAAAACUAAUAAUUUUAUUUCUUGACGUUACCCGAAAAAGAAGCACCGGCUAACUCCGUGCCAGCAGCCGCGGUAAUACGGAGGGUGCUAGCGUUAAUCAGAAUUACUGGGCGUAAAGAGCACGUAGGUGGUUUUUUUAAAGUCAGAUGUGAAAUCCCUGGGCUUAACCUAGGAACUGCAUUUUGAAACUGAAAUACUAGAGUAUCGUAGAGGGAGGUAGAAUUCUAGGUGUAGCGGUGAAAUGCGUAGAUAUCUGGAGGAAUACCUGUGGCGAAAGCGGCCUCCUAAACGAAUACUGACACUGAGGUGCGAAAAGUGUGGGGAGCAAAACAGGGAUUAAGAUACC
rnacentral:rRNA from 1 species